AAGGAUUUAAGUUAAAUUAAACUGAAAGCCUUCAAAGCUUCCAAUAAAGAUCAAAACUCUUUAAGCCUUA
rnacentral:tRNA from 1 species